CACGAAGGGGGCUAGCGUUGCUCGGAAUCACUGGGCGUAAAGGGUGCGUAGGCGGGUCUUUAAGUCAGGGGUGAAAUCCUGGAGCUCAACUCCAGAACUGCCUUUGAUACUGAGGAUCUUGAGUUCGGGAGAGGUGAGUGGAACUGCGAGUGUAGAGGUGAAAUUCGUAGAUAUUCGCAAGAACACCAGUGGCGAAGGCGGCUCACUGGCCCGAUACUGACGCUGAGGCACGAAAGCGUGGGGAGCAAACAGG
rnacentral:rRNA from 1 species